rnacentral:misc_RNA from 1 species
GAUGAAGAACGCAGCGAAAUGCGAUAAGUAAUGUGAAUUGCAGAAUUCAGUGAAUCAUCGAAUCUUUGAACGCACAUUGCGCCCGCCAGUAUUCUGGCGGGCAUGCCUGUCUGAGCGUCAUUUCAACCCUCAUGCCCCUAGGGCGUGGUGUUGGGGAUCGGCCAAAGCCCGCGAGGGACGGCCGGCCCCUAAAUCUAGUGGCGGACCCGUCGUGGCCUCCUCUGCGAAGUAGUGAUAUUCCGCAUCGGAGAGCGAUGAGCCCCUGCCGUUAAACCCCCGACUUUCCAAGGUUGACCUCAGAUCAGGUAGGAAUACCCGCUGAACUUAAGCAUAUCAAUAAGCGGAGGA